rnacentral:rRNA from 1 species
GAUGAACGCUGGCGGCGUGCCUAAUACAUGCAAGUCGAGCGAACAGACCCGGAGUUUGUUGCUUUGUCGUGUGCCGCGCACGGGUGUGUAACACGUGUGUAAUCCACUUAUAAUAGUGGGAUAACUGCGGGACACCGUCUCUUACACCGUAGAACCUCUUGAUCCGUGUUGUUCUACAGUGAAAGACGGUUUUGGUAUGACUUCUCGACGGAUCCGCGCGUCAUUAGCUAGUUGGUAAGGUAACGGCUUACCAAGGCAGCGAUGGGUAGCCGACUUGGGAGGGUGAUGGGCCACACUGGAACUGAGACGCGGUCCAGAGUCCUACGGGAGGCAGCAGUAGGGAAUCUUCGGAACUGGGCGGAAGCCUGCCGGAGCAGCGCCGCGCGGGUGCAGAAGGUCUUCGGGUCGUAAAACUGUGUUAUUGGGGAAGAACAAAUGUGUAAGUAACUAUGCACGUCUUGACGGUACCUAAUCAGAAAGCCACGGCUAACUACGUG